rnacentral:rRNA from 1 species
GAUGAACGCUGGCGGCGUGCUUAACACAUGCAAGUCGAACGAAGCACUGUUGAUAGAUUCUUCGGAUGAUAGAUACAGUGACUGAGUGGCGGACGGGUGAGUAACGCGUGGGUAACCUGCCUCAUACAGGGGGAUAACAGUUAGAAAUGACUGCUAAUACCGCAUAAGCGCACAGGACCGCAUGGUCUGGUGUGAGAAACUCCGGUGGUAUGAGAUGGACCCGCGUCUGAUUAGCUAGUUGGUGGGGUAACGGCCCACCAAGGCGACGAUCAGUAGCCGACCUGAGAGGGUGACCGGCCACAUUGGGACUGAGACACGGCCCAAACUCCUACGGGAGGCAGCAGUGGGGAAUAUUGCACAAUGGGCGAAAGCCUGAUGCAGCGACGCCGCGUGAGCGAAGAAGUAUUUCGGUAUGUAAAGCUCUAUCAGCAGGGAAGAAAAUGACGGUACCUGACUAAGAAGCACCGGCUAAAUACGUGCCAGCCGCCGCCGUAACAC